ensembl:lncRNA
AUGCUGUGGGAGUGUCUGGUCGGGUGUGAUCCAGGUUCCUGUUGUCCAUCCCCUGGGAUGGAGUUGGCCAGCUCAUCACCUGCUUCCAAUUUCCAGGCCUCCUUCUGGAGGGUUUUUAAGCCAGCGUUGCCUGCCAAUCCUCGCCAGUUUUCUCUCUCUCCAGUGUUCUCCAGAUACAUCACCCGUCGUGCUCAUCAGCAGCGCUGGUUCUGUUUUCACUCCGUUCUCCAGUCUACCUGGAACCCUAGGACUACAUACUCACGAUCUCCUCGGCCUGCCCUCCUGCCCGUGCUUCCAAGGUGGAUCUCUCUCCCCUGGACACACUGGAACCUGGACCAGCUUCCCCGCAUCCUCAGCCAUCCCUGGGACACUCCCACGGCAACCCCUCCUCUGCCUAAUAGCCGGUGUUUCCAAAUGGUUCCCGCCCGUGUUCUCCUUGUGUUCCACGUCCAUUUUCUCCAUCCUCUGGUCUCCCUGAGUUCCUGUGUAUAGUUUCUGUUAGACCCACCCUUGUUUAAGUACUUUCUCCCUUCAAUAAAAUUGUACAUAGUUUGAGCAAUUGAGUCUGCUCUUGAGUCCACAGCAUUCUUGUUUGUGACAAUACUCUGAUGAAAAGGGUUCUAGUCCGUUUUUCUAGUCUGCAUGCAGAAACUGAGAUUUCAAAAUCUUCACCCCUCAGUGGUCCAUAACACCAAUUACAUGGAUGAUGGGCUAGAUAUACAAAAAAAGCGGCGUUGGUACACUUGGUGAUGGCUACCAAAUAUCAACUGGUUGAGGAGCAACUUGCUACAGGACAUUUAAACAAAUAUUAGUGGGGAUGAGUGAAUGCAAAUUUCUGACAACAACUGUACAUAUAUUUGAUAAAAAUGGGUAUAACCCCCCCCCCCAAAAAAAACCAAAACAAAACUAUAGAGUCUAGUUAAAUUGGUAUUAACCGUUUUUCUGCAUGAUAGAAAUAGUGAAAGCACUUCUGGAACUCCAGUCCAGCUGAAGUGAACGCUCCUCACUUUUAUAGUAUUUGUUGUCUACUUUCUCCUAGUUGCACAUGUUUGAUAAACACCGUGUAAGAUUGAUAAUGCCAAGAGAGUUCAUUUAGGAUCAAAUUUGACCAAAACCUUUUUUGCCCUAAGACCAUGCAAUAUUGCUUCUACCUCAUCCUGGUCUGGAUUUUUCUUUAAUUUGAUUAUAUUAAAAACCAAAACCAUGUAGGGGAUAGUUAAAGCUUUGGUUCUCUAGCUAAAGUCAGUUCAGUCUUAUCCCAAAGGUCUAUCAGCUGAUGAUUCAUGUUGGUGCUCUGUCUGUGUUUUCCAGCUAAGAGUGAGAUUACAAAGAGUUUUUGGACAUCCUCUCGUUGCCAUGACAAAUAAACAGCAACCACUCCAACUUUGUGUGUGUCUUAGCUCGAGGACCACUUGGGCUAACCUCCUCCUGGACACUAUCUGAUGGUGUGAUAUGGCUUCAAAAGCCAGAGAAAUGUGAGUGUUACAACAGAAGCAGUGAGCCUGUUUUAUGGAAAGCAACUCAAAUUUAGCUUAAUCCCUAAGGAUGUGGUUGCUUGCUAGUUUGGGGAGUUUACUGCUAAUAAACCUGGCUUCUUCCAGCGAGGUAAUUAAGUUGUUAGGCCUCUGGCUGUCUCGUCAGGAUAAACAGGCUGAGGUGGAAGACAGAGAGGAGUGGGAGGGUGAGUCAUGCCGCUUAUGGGCUUAUCAAACACAUCCUUCAGGAAAGAGGGGAGUUCACAAAGAUGACACAAAGAAAGCAGUUUUGUUUAGCGAAGCUUGACUUUGUGUUGCAGAGCGUGACGCUGUGAUGUGCGUUUUUUACUGGGUGGUAGAGUCCUCCUUUAGUCGGUCUGAUUUUCUGACCUGCUGUCAUCAUUCCUCCCUUGAUGUGUGUUCAAAUUGCAGCCUGCAUCAGAUAAGUCAAAUUUUUCAAAUGACUGAAGGCAGACAACCAAAAAAGGGGGAAGAAGUAGAAAAGAAA